UACGUAGGGGGCAAGCGUUGUCCGGAAUCAUUGGGCGUAAAGAGCGCGUAGGCGGCCCAGUAAGUCCGCUCUGAAAGUCAGGGGCUCAACCCCUGAAUGCGGGUGGAUACUGCUGGGCUAGAGUCCGGAAGAGGCGAGUGGAAUUCCUGGUGUAGCGGUGAAAUGCGUAGAUAUCUGGAGGAACACCGGUGGCGAAGGCGGCAUCCUGGACCAACACUGACACUGAUGAGCGAAAGCCAGGGGAGCAAACGGG
rnacentral:rRNA from 1 species